GAUGAACGCUAGCGGGAGGCCUAACACAUGCAAGCCGAGCGGUAUUGUUUCUUCGGAAAUGAGAGAGCGGCGUACGGGUGCGUAACACGUGUGCAACCUGCCUUUAUCUGGGGGAUAGCCUUUCGAAAGGAAGAUUAAUACUCCAUAAUAUAUUGAACGGCAUCGUUUAAUAUUGAAAGCUCCGGCGGAUAGAGAUGGGCACGCGCAAGAUUAGCUAGUUGGUGAGGUAACGGCUCACCAAGGCGAUGAUCUUUAGGGGGCCUGAGAGGGUGAUCCCCCACACCUGUACUGAGACCCGGACCAGACUCCUACGGGAGGCAGCAGUGAGGAAGAUUGGGCAAGGGGUGCAGGCCUGAACCAGCCAUCCCGCGUGAAGGACGACUGCCCUAUGGGUUGUAAACUUCUUUUGUAUAGGGAUAAACCUACCCUCGAGAGGGUAGCUGAAGGUACUAUACGAAUAAGCACCGGCUAACUCCGUG
rnacentral:rRNA from 1 species